rnacentral:miRNA from 14 species
UAGAAGGCAGACAGAUCCCUGUGAGUUCGAGGCCAGCCUGGUCUACAGAGGGAAUUCCAGGACAGCCAGGACUACAUAGAGAAACCCUGUCUCAAAAAG